UACGAAGGGGGCUAGCGUUGCUCGGAAUUACUGGGCGUAAAGCGUGCGCAGGCGGUUUGUUAAGUCCGUUGUGAAAUCCCCGAGCUCAACUUGGGAAUUGCAAUGGAUACUGGCAAGCUGGAGUAUGGUAGAGGAAGGUGGAAUUCCCGGUGUAGCAGUGAAAUGCGUAGAGAUCGGGAAGAACACCGGUGGCGAAGGCGGCCUGCUGGGCAGUGGCUGACGCUGAGGCGCGACAGCGUGGGGAGCAAACAGG
rnacentral:rRNA from 1 species